rnacentral:lncRNA from 10 species
CUGUGAGGGUGCUGCCAAAGGAGAUUAACAUUUUAGUCAGUGGACUGGGAAAGGCAGACCCACCCUUAACCUGGGUGGGCACAAUCUCAUCAGCUGGUAGCAUGGCCAAAAUAAAAGCAGGCAGAAGAAUGUGGAAAGACUAGACUGCCUGAGUCUUCCAGCCUCCAUCUUUCUCCCAUGCUGGAUGCUUCCUGCCCUCUAACAUCGGACUCCAAGUUCUUCAGCUUUGGGACUCUUGGACUUUUGACUGAAGGCUUCACUGUCAACUUCCCUUUUGAGGUUUUUGGACUCGGACUGGCUUCCUUGCUCCUCAGCUUGCAGACAGACUAUUGUGGGACCUCACCUUUUGAUCGUGGAAUUAUAUUCAAAUAACUCACACAGCAUUUGACCAGUAAAGGUAUCUUAGAAUCAUAUUAACCAUGAUGACUCAGAAGAACACCUUAUAGGACUUCUGCUCCUAAGAUUUGACAAAGACUCUCUGGCAGCUUCAGGAACGUCCUGUUUAACUGAGCAGAGUUUACAGAAGAGGAACUGGCUGGGUGGGAAAUCCAGAUGGAAGCUGGCAGAGAUGAGCACAAAUGCAGACAAAGGCUUAUUGGGCAGAUUCUAUGCGGAGAGCAGCCGUGGUCUUGACGCUGUGUGUGGUGGUUAUACUGACUGUAGUCCCUGGCAGUUGCAGCAGGCAUCAAGCAGAGAGAAAUGUGAUGAGGCAGCUCUGGAGAGGGGGAGCCACAGGUGCACCCCUGCAUUGGGAAGAUACCAUCAACUGCAGCAAAGAGAAUAGAUGCACCACACACUCCUGGAUUUGCUGGGGAAUUUAAGAAAAAUGCAGUCAGAAAUCAAAGGUGGAGUUCUAGGGGUCCUCCUGGAAAGAAGCUAGGGAGAGAACUUCUUCUGAUUGGCAUUUUUUUCCUCUGUAGCUCUACUUUUGUCCUGCUAAAAGCAGGAAUCAGAUCAGAUGUUAAGCUGAUGACAUUUGACAGUCACAACGCAAUACUUACUACCACAUAACAUUCCCCUACUACACCAUUUAAAUUUCUCACUCUCACCCAGAAUAUUCACAGAUGAGUCAUGAGAAGUGAUAAAUAAAAAAUACUAUUUUUUAAGUCAAACGUAAGUAUCAAACUGUAAAGACCCACCAUGUAUAAAAUUUAGUUUUGCAAUUAAAACUCCCAAUGUUUAUCUCAUAACAUCCAUUAUGUGCACAGAUCUUGUUGUGAUGCUCAGAAAUUAAAGCAUGUAAGAUGUGUGGUUCAAGGAAAUUACUUUUUAAAGAAAGAACACCCACUGAAAUUUAUUGAUUCACGUUACUGAAAAAAUCAGAAGUAGGAAUAAUUACCAUGAAAAGGAGGUUAAAAAUG